GCCCAGAACUGUGUUAGUCACCCACGCUCGCCCGCUCCGAUCCAUGGUCACCAUCUCGGGUGCACGGACCAUUGUGACUAGUCUACGUUUUGGGAAGACGCACGGGUCCCCUGUGGCAGUCGAGCACUGUAGACUUUCCUACUUUUUCUUCCCACUCACCCGGUCCCCUUUACUUGGCAGACCUCGCUUGGUCAAGAUGGGACAAGAACAUGCUAGACCAGCUAAAGGGUUUUUAGCUUGUGAUAUCGAGAAGGAAAGGGUGGGGGAGGAGGCAAUGUUAAAGAUCAAGAAAAUUGCUAAGAUCUGUG